AUUGAACGCUGGCGGCAGGUCUAACACAUGCAAGUCGAACGAGUGGCGGACGGGUGAGUAAUGUCUGGGAAACUGCCAGAUGGAGGGGGAUAACUACUGGAAACGGUAGCUAAUACCGCAUACCAUCAGAUGUGCCCAGAGGGGAUUAGCUAGUUGGUGGGGUAACGGCGCACCAAGGCGACGAUCCCUAGCUGGUCUGAGAGGAUGACCAGCCACACGGGAACUGAGACACGGUCCAGCAUCCUACGGGAGGCAGCCGUGGGGAAUAUUGCACAAUGGGCGCAAGCCUGAUGCAGCCAUGCCGCGUGUAUGAAGAAGGCCUUCGGGUUGUAAAGUACUUUCAGCGGGGAGGCGUUACCCGCAGAAGAAGCACCGGCUAACUCCGUGCCAGCAGCCGCGGUAAUUC
rnacentral:rRNA from 1 species